UACGUAGGGACCGAGCGUUGUCCGGAUUCAUUGGGCGUAAAGAGCGCGUAGGUGGCUUCUCAAGUCGAAUGUGAAAACUCGAGGCUCAACCUCGAGCCUGCAUUCGAUACUGGGCGGCUAGAGUCUGGUAGGGGGAUCUGGAAUUCCUGGUGUAGCGGUGGAAUGCGCAGAUAUCAGGAGGAACACCGGUGGCGAAGGCGGGAUCCUGGGCCAGUACUGACGCUGAGGAGCGAAAGCGUGGGGAGCGAACAGG
rnacentral:rRNA from 1 species